rnacentral:rRNA from 1 species
AUUGAACGCUGGCGGCAGGCCUAACACAUGCAAGUCGAACGGUAACAGGAAACAGCUUGCUGUUUCGCUGACGAGUGGCGGACGGGUGAGUAAUGUCUGGGAAACUGCCUGAUGGAGGGGGAUAACUACUGGAAACGGUAGCUAAUACCGCAUAACGUCGCAAGACCAAAGAGGGGGACCUUCGGGCCUCUUGCCAUCGGAUGUGCCCAGAUGGGAUUAGCUAGUAGGUGGGGUAACGGCUCACCUAGGCGACGAUCCCUAGCUGGUCUGGGAGGAUGACCAGCCACACUGGAACUGAGACACGGCCCAGACUCCUACGGGGGGCAGCAGUGGGGAAUAUUGCACAAUGGGCGCAAGCCUGAUGCAGCCAUGCCGCGUGUAUGAAGAAGGCCUUCGGGUUGUAAAGUACUUUCAGCGGGGAGGAAGGGAGUAAAGUUAAUACCUUUGCUCAUUGACGUUACCCGCAGAAGAAGCACCGGCUAACUCCGUGCCAGCCGCCGCAGUAA